GUCAGUUGUGGCAUGUAGCAGUAUUAACUCCUUUUCAGUUCAUAUAAGCAACCGUAUUUAUAUUCAGGAAGAGAGAAGUUCAGCCUCUAUCAACAGCUCCAACAGGUGUGAUUCCAGAAUGGAGCAACUGCAAGAGGUGAGACCACCCACGAUUGUUCACGAUUGGACAAGGAACCAAGACAUUCCCAGUGGGCAGCCAACGCAAAUACAAAGGCGAAAGGUCAUCAAACGUGAAACACUGGGACAAAGUAUCUGGCUAGAUGCUAAUUUCAUUAUUUCCAUAAGUUGCUUUUGCUAUUUUACAUUUGAGCAGAAAGUACAGUUCUGAAAAUUUAAUACAGGCCAGGUUGCAUUGAGUGAAUCACAUGCAUUGCCUCAGGGUUUUCAUCAUUUGCUUGUUUGAAUUGAAGGAGAACUAUAAAGUUAACAACAUGCUAUUUUUGUUUCAAAUAUUCCAUCAUUCACAAAGUGCUAGAGAAACAAAAGAGAUUUUAAUUAUGUAAAAUGUUUCGGCCAAAAAAGAUUAGCAGAAAGAAGAAACAGUCUGAAAGUUCUCCAGCAAAAGUAAAAUUCAUGAUUUAUGCUUAUUUUCUCGGAAAGGCACAAGUAAAAGCAAUAAUUUUUUUGUGGGGCCCAAAUAAUUAUUCCUCACUGUCUAGGAAAAGUUGACAAGAAAAUUUUUAAAGGGCUUUCACUAGGCUCCAUGGUAGCGUAGCAGUUAGCACAAGGUUGUUACAGCUCAGGGAAUCAGAGUUGAGAGUCCUCAACAGUUACCUCACUCCACAGCAAAGGGCAUAGGCUUCCAGAAUGAACAAUUAAACUUGAGGCCUGACAUGUGAAUCAGCCAUAGGUGCAGUGCUGCAUCUCUGGUCAGUUGUGAGUCUGAGAUGAAGCACUGUAGCUCUGGAGGAUGGACACUGCAGCAAUGGCCUGGAAUGAAGAGUGGGACAGCAACGCACAGCCUGGAGGUAAUGUUAUCUGUAAGUCUGCUUAUUGCAUCUAUAAAAAGAUCGUUGAUGAGUUUUCCUUCUUUUGAGGCAAACACUAUAAUAUGUUUAUUGUUGAAUAAUAAAAUAUAUAUUUAAAGUCAUAACCCUUUCAAAGUAAUCAGGUUAAUUUUAUUUACUAAAAGAAAAUCUUAUCAUAAAAGUUGGGUAGUAAAGACAAGAUGCACAUAUGAAGAUACAAAAGAAAUUGUCUAACAAGAGCUUAGAUUUUCAGAUUCUAAAAACACUGUGAAUUAGAUAGAUUUGUACUAAGGAGGGAGGAGGUGCAGUUUUUCUUGUUACACACAAAUUCAUUAAAAAUUAUCUCAACGACAGCCAGACUUCAAACCCAUGGGAACGUGCAAAAUGUUCCUUAUCAGGAGGUCAUCUUCUCAUGGUUCCGGCUCUUUUCCUGUCCGUAAUUGUGCUGCUGCUGAGAGCAGAGAAAGUAUUUGCUACAGGAACAAAUUUGUUUAACAAAAAUGCAAGAGCAAUAUCACAUUGUGCAGUUGUCUAGUGAAAAGUAUAUUAAUACACAUAAUAUUAUGGCAUAUGGUAAUUUCAUGCUUAAAAACAGUCUUUUUUAACUUGAAAAGGGUGCCAUUUGUUACUGUCACAGGGUAUUAGUAAUUGGCAGCAAUUAAUCCUCAGUGUUAUUCUUUCCUCACUGACAUUAGAUUGCAUGUUUUUCAUCUCUUUAAUUGUUGGUAUAAUAUUUCAGAAUUUAAACAUAAUUGCAAGAUUCUUAUCCAAUCAGGGGUAUUAGUUAGAGACAUUAAGUAGGGAGAGUUCAUGAGUAAAUACUCAAAAGUUUUGUGAGCCUCCUUUUGUGAAGGGGCAACUCCCAAUCCAUUUCCUGCCCCCCUUCCGUGAGACUAACUCUAAACUAACAAUUCACAGAAGUACUUUCAGUAUAGUUCCAAGUAAGAUAAAAGAUUUCAGUAAAGCACAAUGGUCUAGAAUUCACCUCAGUGUGUAUGCUCCUAUAAAACGGCAACUGCAUGUUCUACUCUAAUUCUGAAAUUUGCUUCUUAUCAACUUCCACAGAACCAAAUUUCAGAAGCUUAAUAGAAUGUGUAGCUACUAUUAUGCUAUGACUUUAGUUCCAUCUACCAGUGCAUGUAAUUGGACAAGAUUUUGUUUGAAAAGAAAAAGCAAAUUUAAGAAAGAAUAGCUCUGAACUACAAAUUUUUCAGCAAAGUAGUUACAUGUUUGAAUUUGGUAAAAUACAACUAGAUAAGCAAUAGUAAUAACAAUAUUUCCUAUUUAUACUCCGUUUCCAGUAUGCAAAACAAAGAUGCAAAUAAAAUUAUUCAAUUGUUGCUUUUGUGAUUUUAGUGCUGGGUUAAUGUUAGUUGGCUUCAAAAACAAUUGUAAGUUCUCCAGGUUUAGUUCAAAUUGGACCAGGCUGGCAGUUUGUACUUAAGGAUUGGGGAACAAGUGAUAAAAUUUGGACAUGUUGACAAGGCUGCUGUGAACUUUCAUUAUCAGCUGGGCACAUGCUGGAUUUGUGUUCCAACAGGAUUCUAGAUAACGGCUACUUAGAUAGUUGGUACUUCGGUCCUCAGGACGUUUAAUUUGUAGCCGAACAUACUUUUAAUUGGAAAUAAUCAAAUUUAAAUCUAUAUUUUACAUCUACUAAAUCAAGUCAGAUUUUAUAAAGGAAAAUUAACUUGGAUGAAUGAUAUUCAAGUGAAAGCCAUGGGUAUUGAUAAUCUGAAAUACAAACGGUAGAAGUAGGACAGUUGAGAAAAUUAAGCAGAUAACAGCAGCUGAAUAAGACAUUUUGAGUAAUAUCUUGGGUGGAAGCAAUUAUAAGAACACAAAACAAUUAUAUUCUUUCAGGUGUUGAUUGACUUACUGAUCAGCAGAGAUCAGCACUGGUUUUCUAGUUUAAGGAUAAGAAUGUAUAUUUUAUGGAACAAGAAUCCUAGGGAAGAAACUUUAGGAAAUAAGAGUGACAAAAUGGAUAUGCAAUUCAAUAUGUUUGAUUCAUUCUCCUUAAAGUUCCUGUAAGAAGUUUAUUCUUUUGCCUGGUUUUCUGAUCCAGUCAAGCCCACAGAAGUCCCAGAGACUUUUCUCUACAUAUUAGAAUGUAAAAUUCAGUAUAGCUCAUAAAACAUUUAAAAGGGUAGUAUAUAUCUCUUGCCUUAGAGUUUCCAAUCAUAAAUAAUUCAAUAUGAACUUAAAAUCAUUAAUAUAUUUUACAGAAUCCCCAAAGCACAGCUUGCAUAUUAUAUCAGCAUAAAGGUAUAAAUCUAUCUUAAAUCAGAUUUGUUUAUGUGCUUCCAAAAUAAAUCUACAAAGUAUUUCCAGAUAUUUUAUUCUGUUGGUGAUGAAAGAAGGAAUAUAGCAUAAUAUUUCUCUUGGGAAUGUUGUUCUUUAUUCACAGGUCUUCAUUUCCGAUCUUCCAUUGACCUUCUCCUCAGGGUCCAGUUUUCCCAGGAAUCCCUUCAAUAAUGAUAAGGGGAUUCCUGGAAAUACUGUUCUUGGGGGCAAGGCUUGGCAGCUAUACAAUGAGGAGACCACCAAAACUGCGUUCAUGAAAGCUCCUGGAUUAUUGUGGAAAAAAUUAAUCCUUUAAAUUCUAUUUGUGAGUACGUUCCCCCCAAUGUGAAAUCUUAAUGUAAUAAACAUAAAUUAAAACAAAUUAUGAAUCACUAAAAUCUUAGUGUCUGAUUCUAUUUUCAAAAAUUCAUAUUCACAGUAUAUUUAUGUUAAUGGAUUAUAGAUUUCCAAACAAAUUUUCAGAAAAUUUCCAGAUAGAUUUCCAGAAAAUAAUUAUUUAAUAUGGACAGUUAAUUUUAAAAUUCUAACCCAUCCUUACCACAAGUCAACUAAUGGAAUUUGAAGUGGUAAAGUACUAUCAGCCUCCAUGCUGAAGUGCACUUUAGAUGUAACAUUUUGUGAUUUCAAAGUGCUCAGGUAAUUGUAGAUUUAGGAUGAACAAUUUAAUCUUUGUCAAAGUGCUACCACAGCCUUAUAUCAUACUGACAUCAUUUAUAUUCUGCAACUUAUUCAUUCACAGGACGUGCAGGUCACUAGAGAUGGUAGCAUUCACUAUUAAUCUCUAAUUGUCCUAAAUUGAGACAAGAUCAACUGCAUUGAUGGGUCUGGAAUCUAUGGAAAAGACUGGAAGAUUUCCAUUCCAGAAGGACGUUAAUGAACUAAAUAGGGUUUUAUGAUACAGUACUAUGCAAGAAGUCUUAGUCAUAUAUAUAUAUAUAGCUAAGUUGCCUAAGUGCUGUAUUUGUCUACGUGGAGCAGAGACGAAAUCUAUUGGGAGCAAAGGAUGUUGGGAAUAGAGAGAAUGGGAUGCUCUGGGAGGAAUGUGGGCCCAGUGGUAGCGAAGCAGUGCCAGGGUUGGUGGCUUGGAUGCAGACAGACCCAGUCCUGAAACACCAAGCAAGGCCUCUUGAUUCCAAACAACUGGUUUGUUGGUCAUUACAAAAAUUUUCUGCGGUUCUCUCUGCUCCCUCCCCUCUCCCUUCCCCUUUUUGCAACCAUGAUUCCCCUUGCACUGCCUCCUUCUCACUCUCAGUUCACAAUAGAGACCCAUAUCGGAAUCAGGUUUACCUUUACUCACGUGUCAUAAAAUUUGUAUUUUUUGCGGCAGCAGUAUAGUGUAAUAAAUAAAAUUAAUUCAAUACUGUGGAAAAGUCUUCAGCACCCUAGCUAUGUAUACGUGCCGAAGAGUUUUCCACAGUACUGUAGUUUCAUAAUUAAUGAAACCAAUGUUAGAUUUACUCCCAAAUGGUUAAUUACCCAAACUGAAAUUUCUCAGGUAGCCUUGGAACUCAUUUAUCUGAAUCAAUAAUCCAAAACUCUGACAUCUAGUUCAUUGAUUGGCUCACAAUAUUUUAUGCUUAAAAUGUAUUGAAUUGAUUUGAAUUGACUUGAAUUGACUUUAUUAUUUCUUACAUCUGUCACAUACAUGAGGAGUAAAAAUCUUUACUUUAUGUCUCCGUCUGAACGUGCAAUAUGCAAUUAUAGUAAUUUGUAAUAAAUAGUGUGUACAGUAAGACAUACAAAAGAACAGUCAUUAUAGCUUAGAAAUACAAGUGUGACAGUGUGAGUUAAUCAGUCUGAUGGCCUGGUGGAAGAAGCUGUCCCGGAGCCUGUUGGUCCUGGAUUUAUGCUGCAGUACCAUUUCCUGGGUGGUAGCAGCUGGAGCAGUUUGUGGUUGGGGUGACUCAGGUCCCUAAUGAUCCUUCUUUUUACGCAUUUGUCGCUGCAAAUGUCCUGAAUCAAGGGAAGUUCACAACUACAGAUGUUCUGGACUGUCUGCACGACUCUCUGCAGAGUCCUGUGAUUGAGGGAAGUACAGUUCCCAUAUCAGGCAGUGAUGCAGCCAGUCAGGAUGCGCUCAGCCAUCUGAAGGGAAAGAGGCGUUGUUGUCCUUUUCUUCACCAUACAGCCAGUACGUACAGACCACAUGAGGUCCUUACUAAUGUGUAUACUGAGGAACCUGAAGCUGUUCACCCUCUCAACCCCAGAUCCAUUGAUGUCAAUAGGGGUUAGCCUGUCUCCAUCCCUCCUGUAGUCCACAACCAGCUCCUUUGUUUUUGUGACACUGAGGGAGAGCUUGUUUUCUCGUGUCGGGGUGAUGUCUUCUCUGUAGGCUGCCUCGUUAAUAUUUGAGGUAAGGCCAAUCAAUGUAGCAUCAUCUGCAAAUUUAAUUAGCAGAUUGGAGCUGUGGGUGGCGACACAGUCAUAGGUGUACUGAGAGUAAAAGAGGCGGCUUAGGACGCAGACUUGGGGGGCUCCUGUGUUGAGGGUCAGAGGGGAAAAACUGAGGGAGCCCACUCUUACCACCUGCCAGCAAUCAGACAGGAAGUCCAGAUUCUAACCGGACAAGUCAUAAUAUAUGUUGCAGGUGCACAUGCAAAUCAAGAAUGGGGAAUAAUGGUAAGGAAGAAACCACUUAUCAUUUAGAAGACAUAGAAAACAACAAAAACAGCAAAACAUCAACGUGGAUUUAUAUACUGUUGUUGCGAUAAUGGAGUGUCUCUAAGAUGGUUGUUUGGCUACUACUGAGUAUACAUUGACACCCAGCAACACGUGGUGCUAUUGGUGACGUAAGACUUAGUCAGGGUAUAGGUUCCAAAGUCCACUUUAAAUAGUGAGAAAGAUGUCACGGCUUAAGAAAGGAAUUACAGAGUUUUAGGGUCAAGGCUCUGAAUGCACAGUAACUAAAGAUGGAAAACUUGAAAUGAGAAUAGGUGAGAGGCCAAAAACAGAAUGCAAAGUUAUCUGAGGGCUGCUGAGAGUUACCUGUAUAGUGACAGUAAGACAGUGAGGUGUGGGAUUUGCAAACAAGGAUGAGAGUGACACAAUGACGAUGAAUUCAGGGCAAAUUUAGGACAACAAAAUCAGAAGCACUGGGCACCAGUCAAAGCAGAAGCAUCAAAGUUUUAGGUGAACUUAGUUAAUGAAAAAUAGAAAAUGGGAAGAUGAGAGGCAAGCUAAGAAAGUUUUAGAAUAAUAGGCUGAAGGUUUCUUGUGGAGAUGAACCAAGGUUCCUGAAAAGUCCUGAUCAAUUUUUUUUUAAAGAAAUACCAAACCAAUAUCAGUUUAGAAUUAAGGCUAAAAUAAUUAUUAAAGCUUAUUUUGGCUUUCAAUUUCAAUUUAACUGUCAAAGAUAGUGGUUUCUGAGAUGACAAUAUUUUGUCUAUAAAAUCACAAGGAGUUACUAAAAAAAUACCUAUGAUCAAGUAUGUCUUUGAAAAGGUUUUCCAUGGAAACUUGUAAUGGAAAAAUGAAUUAUUCUUUCAAUUCAACAUUCCAUAAAACUAAUGCUGGAAAUGAUUAGUCGGCAAGAAUGCAGUAAGUGUCUGUGACACUUAAACCAGCAUCUCCCAGCACUUUCAGUUAAAUCGGUAACAUUAAGGGCUGGGCCACAAUGAAUACCAGGAUUUCCUGUUUGUAAUCUGAAAUUCCCUCGUGCAUGGAAAAUUAUAGAGAAUAACCACCCAGCUCUUAGAAUGCCCUAAUUCAUUAAGAACCCUGAGUAGUAAUCCUAGCAUGUUGUAAAGAGCAUCUUCAAAAAAAAACAUAUUGAUUAAUGGUAUAAAAACAGCCCACUUAAAUGGAGUGUAGCCCACAUUACAUGUGGCAACUAAUGGGCUUAUGAAAGUAUAAUAUUAGCAGGAAACAAUGACACAAUGAAUAAUUUUACUGUCUACAUCCACUGUGAACAAGAUCACGUCGAUCCAACUUUCCUGAUCGGUCCCAAUCACAGAAAGGCGUGUAGUGUGAAGAUUGGUUCAGCUGGUCACACACUUACUUUUGAAUCUGUGAAGAUAGAAGCAAAAAUAAUAAGGAAAGCAAGUGCUGAAGGAAUGCUGUACUGCUGGAGACAGAGUUGUUUCGCCAUCUGUCAGGACAAAAGCUCCACUCACUCUGUUAGGUCAAAGUGGAAGUUCCCACGGUUACUGUUUGAAGAUUGGUGAGAGAUCCAGUGUCCUAAAUAAUAGAGCACAACUUUGCCUAUAUUAAAGAGAGUCAAUUGGUCACUGCUUAUCCCACAACCUUCCUCUGGGUAAUUGACUGCAUGUACCUCGACUGCAACAGUGACUGCUCUCCUUGUUGGAAGUGAAGAACUUUGAGAGAUUCUGAAAGUGCUGUGGGAGGAGCUAGAUAAUUGCAAGUUUCUUUCUGUAUUGUAUCCUCAUACUUCCCUACAUCUAUUUUAUGAAUAAGUCUUCCACAAAUUUUAAUAUAAUAAUGCAUAAAUUUGGUUCACAUUCAUGGUCAAUUUUUAGAAUUGUUAAUUUUAAAUACUGCUGAGCUUCAACAUUAGGA